rnacentral:rRNA from 1 species
UACGUAGGGCGCAAGCGUUGUCCGGAAUUAUUGGGCGUAAAGAGCUCGUAGGCGGUGUGUCACGUCGGCCGUGAAAACCUGGGGCUUAACUCUGGGCGUGCGGUCGAUACGGGCAUCACUAGAGUUCGGCAGGGGAGACUGGAAUUCCUGGUGUAGCGGUGAAAUGCGCAGAGUAUCAGGAGGAACACCGGUGGCGAAGGCGGGUCUCUGGGCCGAUACUGACGCUGAGGAGCGAAAGCAUGGGUAGCGAACAGG